UACGUAGGGUGCGAGCGUUAUUCGGAAUUACUGGGCGUAAAGCGUGCGCAGGCGGUGUUGUAAGUCAGGUGUGAAAUCCCCGGGCUUAACCUGGGAACUGCAUUUGUGACUGUAGAGCUGGAGUACGGUAGAGGGGGAUGGAAUUCCGCGUGUAGCAGUGAAAUGCGUAGAUAUGCGGAGGAACACCGAUGGCGAAGGCAAUCCCCUGGACCUGUACUGACGCUCAUGCACGAAAGCGUGGGGAGCAAACAGG
rnacentral:rRNA from 1 species